UACGGAGGGUGCAAGCGUUACUCGGAAUUACUGGGCGUAAAGCGCACGUAGGUGGUUUGUUAAGCUAGCUGUGAAAUCCCCGGGCUCAACCUGGGCACUGCAGUUAGAACUGGCAAGCUAGAGUAGGGUAGAGGGGUGUGGAAUUCCAGGUGUAGCGGUGAAAUGCGUAGAUAUCUGGAGGAACAUCAGUGGCGAAGGCGACACCCUGGACUCAUACUGACACUGAGGUGCGAAAGCGUGGGGAGCAAACAGG
rnacentral:rRNA from 1 species